CAAUGCAAUUGGGAUCAACAAGAAGGACUGGAGACCACAGCAGCGAUCCUGCUCUUGGGUUCUUAUGGACGUGGUACCGAAGUGGGGACCACAAUCAGCGGAAAUGUUCAAGAGCGCCACCCAUAGAGAUUUCACCGCUCUUCACUACUUUAUUGCACAUCGUUGGAAAUCCAUUUCACCAGCAGAGUGAAAUCCCGCUGGCCUGUGAUGGGGAGAACAUCCACACCCUCGAGGACGUCCCCAUGGGACUUUGGGCUCUGCUAUGGCUGUAUUUUUUAUUUCCCCUUGAAUUUCCCAAAAAUGUCAGAAAAACAAUUAAGUUACUGUGUUCUGGGGAGAAGAGAAGUUGGGGUGAAGUUACCAGGGCCGGUCAUAAAGAUGGCAAACUUCAUAACAUAACUACAGUGCCUUGCGAAAGUAUUCGGCCCCCUUGAACUUUGCGACCUUUUGCCACA